rnacentral:tRNA from 3 species
UGCAGGAUGGACAAUUGGCAAGUCGCUCUGACUCUGAAUCAGAGAGAGGUUGGUUCGACCCCAACUCCUGCAUCCA